GACGAGGGAUCCUAGCGUUGUUCGGAAUCAUUGGGCGUAAAGCGGGUGUAGGUGGCUUCGUAAGUCAGGUGUGAAAUCCCAGGGCUUAACCCUGGAAGUGCACUUGAUACUGCAAAGCUUGAGUGUGGGAGAGGUUACUAGAAUUCCAGGUGUAGUGGUGAAAUACGUAGAUAUCUGGAGGAAUACCGGUGGCGAAGGCGGGUAACUGGCCCAACACUGACACUGAUGCCCGAAAGCGUGGGGAUCAAACAGG
rnacentral:rRNA from 1 species